AUUGAACGCUGGCGGCAGGCCUAACACAUGCAAGUCGAGCGGUAACACAGAGAGCUUGCUCUCGGGUGACGAGCGGCGGACGGGUGAGUAAUGUCUGGGAAACUGCCUGAUGGAGGGGGAUAACUACUGGAAACGGUAGCUAAUACCGCAUAACGUCGCAAGACCAAAGAGGGGGACCUUCGGGCCUCUUGCCAUCAGAUGUGCCCAGAUGGGAUUAGCUAGUAGGUGGGGUAACGGCUCACCUAGGCGACGAUCCCUAGCUGGUCUGAGAGGAUGACCAGCCACACUGGAACUGAGACACGGUCCAGACUCCUACGGGAGGCAGCAGUGGGGAAUAUUGCACAAUGGGCGCAAGCCCGAUGCAGCCAUGCCGCGUGUAUGAAGAAGGCCUUCGGGUUGUAAAGUACUUUCAGCGGGGAGGAAGGCGAUAAGGUUAAUAACCUUGUCGAUUGACGUUACCCGCAGAAGAAGCACCGGCUAACUCCGUGCCAGCCGCCGCCGUAA
rnacentral:rRNA from 1 species